AUAUCAGGAGGAAACACCGAUGGCGAAGGCAGGUCUCUGGGCCGCAACUGACGCUGAGGAGCGAAAGCAUGGGGAGCGAACAGGAUUAGAUACCCUGGUAGUCCAUGCCGUAAACGUUGGGCACUAGGUGUGGGGCUCAUUCCACGAGUUCCGUGCCGCAGCAAACGCAUUAAGUGCCCCGCCUGGGGAGUACGGCCGCAAGGCUAAAACUCAAAGGAAUUGACGGGGGCCCGCACAAGCGGCGGAGCAUGCGGAUUAAUUCGAUGCAACGCGAAGAACCUUACCAAGGCUUGACAUAUGCCGAAAACUCAUGGAGACAUGGGGUCCGCAAGGGCGGUAUACAGGUGGUGCAUGGUUGUCGUCAGCUCGUGUCGUGAGAUGUUGGGUUAAGUCCCGCAACGAGCGCAACCCUCGUCCUGUGUUGCCAGCGCGUCAUGGCGGGGACUCAUAGGAGACUGCCGGGGUCAACUCGGAGGAAGGUGGGGAUGACGUCAAAUCAUCAUGCCCCUUAUGUCUUGGGCUUCACGCAUGCUACAAUGGCCGGUACAAAGGGCUGCGAUACCGCAAGGUGGAGCGAAUCCCAAAAAGCCGGUCUCAGUUCGGAUUGGGGUCUGCAACUCGACCCCAUGAAGUCGGAGUCGCUAGUAAUCGCAGAUCAGCAACGCUGCGGUGAAUACGUUCCCGGGCCUUGUACACACCGCCCGUCAAGUCACGAAAGUCGGUAACACCCGAAGCCGGUGGCCCAACCCUUGUGGAGGGAGCCGUCGAAGGUGGGACCGGCGAUUGGGACUAAGUCGUAACAAGGUA
rnacentral:rRNA from 1 species